AGUGAACGCUGGCGGUAGGCCUAACACAUGCAAGUCGAACGGCAGCACAGUAAGAGCUUGCUCUUACGGGUGGCGAGUGGCGGACGGGUGAGGCAUACAUCGGAAUCUACUUUUUCGUGGGGGAUAACGUAGGGAAACUUACGCUAAUACCGCAUAUGACCUACGGCUGAAAGCAGGGGAUCUUCGGACCUUUCGCGUCUGAAUUAGCUGAUGUCGCACUACCUAGGUGGGGGGGUAAAGUCCCACCAAGGCAAGGAAGCGGAGCCGAUCGGAGAGGAUGAUCGGCCACCACUGAACUGAGAAACGGUCCAGACCCCCAAGGGAGGCAGCCGGAGGGAAUUUUCGGCAAUGGGCGAAAGCCUGACCCAGCAACGCCGCGGGAGGGAUGAAGGUCUUCGGAUUGUAAAACUCUUUUAUUAGGGAAGAAAAGAUGUGUAAUUAACUCCGCACUUCUUGACGGUACCUAAUCAGAAAGCCACGGCUAAAUUCGUG
rnacentral:rRNA from 1 species